UACGGCCACACCGCCUGGUUCACGCCCGAUCUCGUUUGAUCUCGGAAGCUAAGAUAGGUUGGGCCUGGUUAGUACUUGGAUGGGAGACCGCCUGGGAAUACCAGGUGCUNACGUGU
rnacentral:rRNA from 14 species